ACAUGAUGAAAUGCAAUAUGAAAUGCUAAAUGAAUGCAUGAAUGAGGAGGGCAAAUUUUGGGGUGUUACACAUGUUGCUUUUUUCUUUUCUAGCAAACGAAGGAGCUUCCUAGAUAUAAAAAAAGUCAGUAGUGGAGCGCCUUGCCUCGUUGCAUAAUCUCCAAUUAGAAUCAGUAAACCCUAUUAGUGUAUUGUUGGAAGUUGACUUGAAUAACAAACCUUGAGCAAGAGAUGACUU
rnacentral:lncRNA from 1 species